UGCGGCGAUCCUGUCGACGCCAUCAGCAAAUGCGAGGAUUUGGAUCGAGAACUGUGUAUUUGUAAAGACGAGAGUAUUAAAGCGAUUUGCCACGGCUACUGUAGUGAUACUUGUACCGGGUUUAUUCGAAACAAGACGAUAAGUCAAACCUGUCACGUGAUACCUGAUGCGACUGGAAAGAGGGCUCUUUUAACAAGGCUAAUACACUGAAAGACAUUUUAGAUUACAUGUACUCUACCUUGGAGAAAAUAAAACAGUUGAUUUUUAUAA